GACCAUAGCUCAGUGGAAAAGCCUCUGCUUUGCAUGCAGAAGGUUCUAGGUUCAAUUCCCAGUAAGAAGCA